GAUGAACGCUGGCGGCGUGCCUAACACAUGCAAGUCGAGCGAACGGACGAGAAGCUUGCUUUUCUGAUGUUAGCGGCGGACGGGUGAGUAACACGUGGAUAACCUACCUAUAAGACUGGGAUAACUUCGGGAAACCGGAGCUAAUACCGGAUCAUAUUUUGAACCGCAUGGUUCAAAAGUGAAAGACGGUCUUGCUGUCACUUAUAGAUGGAUCCGCGCUGCAUUAGCUAGUUGGUAAGGUAACGGCUUACCAAGGCAACGAUGCAUAGCCGACCUGAGAGGGUGAUCGGCCACACUGGAACUGAGACACGGUCCAGACUCCUACGGGAGGCAGCAGUAGGGAAUCUUCCGCAAUGGGCGAAAGCCUGACGGAGCAACGCCGCGUGAGUGAUGAAGGUCUUCGGAUCGUAAAACUCUGUUAUUAGGGAAGAACAUAUGUGUAAGUAACUGUGCACAUCUUGACGGUACCUAAUCAGAAAGCCACGGCUAACUACGUG
rnacentral:rRNA from 1 species